GGAGGAGAGAAGCCAUAAGCUUGAACUUGAAGGAUGGUGACCCUAUGAAGAAGAUGUUACCCUCAAAUUGCACAUGAGUCUGCUACAGAAAAGGCUGCUGGAGCUCAAAGAGUCCUGGUGCCAUGAUUCCAAACUCUGGCUCCAAAGUCCUUGUGUUUGUUCCUUUUGCCUCUCUGAACUGACCCUGACUUUGAUAUAAUAAUCCCCCAAGGACAGAUUUCUGUGGAUAAAAACUAAACUUCCUUGGGACAGUCUAUCAAUGACAUCCAAUAAGCAUUCUUUUCAUAACGGCUAAUUAAACAAGUCACUAGGUAAAUUUUCCUUCUGUACUCAAUGCUUAGAUUUGGGGUAGAGGUUUUCUUAAACUGCCAGUUAAGGUACAUACCACCUCAUAAAUUUCAUUAGAGAGCAAUGUAGAAUAAUGGUUUCUCCCUCCAGCAGUGGGAGGCAUUGAAUUGUUUAAUCAGGAUAAUGACAAAGUUAGACUUUCAUGUUGGAUGGCUCACUCUUGUAGUUUUGGAGGAUGGAUUUAGAAUAAAGGAGAUUGGAGGCAGAGAGGUAAUUGACAUGGAAAUUUGUUGGGCAUCUACCCAUCAUUCACUUUCUCCAUUGUUUGCCAAGAGCAUCCUGAUAUCUUGCGGGUCAACUCAUAGAAUGGCUAUCGGUUUAGGCCUUAGAACUGGACCACCUUGGUACAAUUG
rnacentral:lncRNA from 1 species